rnacentral:pre_miRNA from 1 species
AGGCCGUCACUGUUGCUAGUGUGCAACUCUGGGGACACGGCUGGAAUUGCACUUUAGCAAUGGUGACGGAGC